rnacentral:rRNA from 1 species
UACGUAGGUGGCAAGCGUUGUCCGGAUUUACUGGGCGUAAAGGGCGUGCAGGCGGUUUGUUUAGUCUAGGGUGAAAGCUCCCGGCUUAACUGGGAGAGGUCCUUGGAUACUGGCAAACUUGAGGGAGGCAGAGGAAAGUGGAAUUCCCGGUGUAGUGGUGAUAUGCGUAGAUAUCGGGAGGAACACCAGUGGCGAAGGCGGCUCGCUGGCUCGAUACUGACGCUGAGGUGCGAAAGCGUGGGGAGCAAACAGG